ACGGAGGAUCCGAGCGUUAUCCGGAUUUAUUGGGUUUAAAGGGUGCGUAGGCGGCCUUGUAAGUCAGGGGUGAAAGACGGUAGCUUAACUAUCGCAGUGCCUUUGAUACUGCAGGGCUUGAAUACACUAGAGGUAGGCGGAAUGUGACAAGUAGCGGUGAAAUGCAUAGAUAUGUCACAGAACACCAAUUGCGAAGGCAGCUUACUAUGGUGAGAUUGACGCUGAGGCACGAAAGCGUGGGGAUCAAACAGGAUUAGAUACCCUGGUAGUCCACGCCCUAAACGAUGAAUACUCGAUGUUGGCGAUAUACAGUCAGCGUCAAAGCGAAAGCGUUAAGUAUUCCACCUGGGGAGUACGCCCGCAAGGGUG
rnacentral:rRNA from 1 species